UACGGGGGGGGUAAGCGUUGUUCGGAAUUACUGGGCGUAGAGGGCUCGUAGGCGGCCAACUAAGUCAGACGUGAAAUCCCUCAGCUUAACUGGGGAACUGCGUCUGAUACUGGAUGGCUUGGAUUCGGGAGAGGAAUGCGGAAUUCCCGGUGUAGUGGUGAAAUGCGUAGAUAUCGGGAGGAACACCAGUGGCGAAGGCGGCUUUCUGGCCCGUUCUUGACGCUGAGGCGCGAAAGCUAGGGUAGCAAACGGG
rnacentral:rRNA from 1 species